rnacentral:rRNA from 1 species
UACAGAGGGGGCAAGCGUUAUUCGGAAUUAUUGGGCGUAAAGGGCGCGUAGGCGGCUUUCAAGUGACGGGUGAAAUCCCUCGGCUUAACCGAGGAACUGCCUGUCAGACUGGAAGGCUUGAGACCGGGAGAGGUGAGUGGAAUUCCCAGUGUAGCGGUGAAAUGCGCAGAUAUCAGGAGGAACACCAGCGGCGAAGGCGGCGCUCGUGGGCCGGAACUGACGCUGAGGAGCGAAAGCGUGGGGAGCAAACAGG